rnacentral:rRNA from 1 species
AACCUGGUUGAUCCUGCCAGUAGUCAUAUGCUUGUCUUAAAGAUUAAGCCAUGCAUGUCUAAGUAUAAAUAGUAUACAGUGAAACUGCGAAUGGCUCAUUAAAACAGUUAUAGUUUAUUUGAUAAUUGAAUGCUACAUGGAUAACCGCGGUAAUUCUAGAGCUAAUACAUGCUGUAAAACCUGACUUUUUGAAAGGUUGUAUUUAUUAGAUACCAAACCAAUAUUCCUUCGGGUCUAUUGUGAUGAUUCAUAAUAACUGAUCGGAGCGAAUUCUAUUCGCUAAAUCAUUCAAGUUCCUGCCCUAUCAGCUUUCGAUGGUAGUGUAUUGGACUACCAUGGCAGUCACGGGUAACGGGGAAUUAGGGUUCGAUUCCGGAGAGGGAGCCUGAGAAACGGCUACCACUUCUAAGGAAGGCAGCAGGCGCGUAAAUUACCCAAUCCUGACUCAGGGAGGUAAUGACAAGAAAUAACGAAUCGGGGCCUCACCGCUUACGAUAUUGCAAUGAGAACAAUUUAAAACACUUAACGAAGAACAAUUGGAGGGCCAGUUUGGUGCCAACCAGCCGCGGUUAAUUCCAGCUCCCAUUAGCGUAUAUUAAAGUUUGUUGCC